UGGGCGCAAGCCUGAUCUAGCCAUGCCGCGUGAGUGAUGAAGGUCUUAGGAUCGUAAAGCUCUUUCGCUAGGGAUGAUAAUGACAGUACCUAGUAAAGAAGCCCCGGCUAACUCCGUGCCAGCAGCCGCGGUAAUACGGAGGGGGCUAGCGUUGUUCGGAAUUACUGGGCGUAAAGCGUACGUAGGCGGAUCAGAAAGUAUGGGGUGAAAUCCCAGGGCUUAACCCUGGAACUGCCUCAUAAACUCCUGGUCUUGAGUUCGAGAGAGGUGAGUGGAAUUCCAAGUGUAGAGGUGAAAUUCGUAGAUAUUUGGAGGAACACCARUGGCGAARGCGGCUCACUGGCUCGAUACUGACGCUGAGGUACGAAAGUGUGGGGAGCAAACAGGAUUAGAUACCCUGGUAGUCCACACCGUAAACGAUGAAUGCCAGUCGUCGGGCAGUAUACUGUUCGGUGACACACCUAACGGAUUAAGCAUUCCGCCUGGGGAGUACGGNCGCAAGAUUAA
rnacentral:rRNA from 1 species